CAAAUCCUACCAAAAUCUUUAUUAUAAAACUUAACUUGAUCGUUCACUUCAGAAAAUUCUGCCAAAACUCACAAAAACACAAGGUACUACCCAGAAAUUCGGCGCAAACGGAUCUCGGAAUCUAGGCCUAACGAGUGAUACGCGGAAAGGUGUGGAUUAGCAUACUUUGAUAUCCUAGUAUCUGUGCAAUCUGUAACCAGGACACUACGUGACGACCCCCUUUGUAUUAGCUACUUGUGAAGUUUAUGUGCGAUACUAUGUGGAUAGAGGCAUGCUACUUAGCUAUAUAAAACGGUUCAUGGAAACUCGCGUAGUAUCUAGUUAAAAUAUGUAACAGUAAUGUGUAAUAGCGACACGUAAAACAAUGAUGUAUCAUAUUGUUUAAUUAAUGUUUAAUAGAGUAUCUUUAUAACAAUGACUCAAACCAGAAGUGUCUGUUGCAUCCCUUUUUAUCGUUUCCGCUGCUAGUCGGGGUGUGACAGAAGAUAGUAUCAGAGCCAUUGUUUAUAGAGAACUAGGUUGUCACUAGAAAACCAAGACUAUAAUCAUUAGUUCAACAAUUGGCCAUAACAAAUUAAAAUUGCUUAUUAGU